rnacentral:pre_miRNA from 11 species
GAAACAUGUAUCUAGGGGAAAUUUCCUGGAUGCAGUUCACUUGAAAGACCCCCCAGAGUGGGGAGACCCUCACUCAAGUCUCGGAUAAGCCGAUGCCCCAAUAAUUCAAGAGAGACC